AUUGAACGCUGGCGGCAUGCUUUACACAUGCAAGUCGAACGGCAGCGGGGGCUUCGGCCUGCCGGCGAGUGGCGAACGGGUGAGUAAUGCAUCGGAACGUGCCCAUGUCGUGGGGGAUAACGUAGCGAAAGCUACGCUAAUACCGCAUACGUCCUGAAGGGNGAAAGCGGGGGAUCUUUGGACCUCGCGCGAUUGGAGCGGCCGAUGUCGGAUUAGCUAGUAGGUGAGGUAAAGGCUCACCUAGGCGACGAUCCGUAGCGGGUCUGAGAGGAUGAUCCGCCACACUGGGACUGAGACACGGCCCAGACUCCUACGGGAGGCAGCAGUGGGGAAUUUUGGACAAUGGGGGCAACCCUGAUCCAGCCAUGCCGCGUGAGUGAAGAAGGCCUCGGUUGUAAGAC
rnacentral:rRNA from 1 species